GCCGUUAUAGUUCAGAGGUAGAACACGUCAUUGGUAAUGACGAAACCCAAGUUCAAUUCUUGGUAACGGCA
rfam:Candidatus Neoehrlichia lotoris str. RAC413 nlRAC413.contig.0_1, whole genome shotgun sequence.